GUUUGAUCCUGGCUCAGGACGAACGCUGGCGGCAUGCCUAACACAUGCAAGUCGAACGAGAAAGUUCCUUCGGGAGCAAUUAAAGUGGCGCACGGGUGAGUAACGCGUAGACAAUCUGCCCUUCAGUCUGGGACAACUUUUCGAAAGGAGAGCUAAUACCGGAUAACAAUGUUUAACCUAAGUUAAGUAUUUGAAAGCUUUAUGUGCUGAAGGAGGGGUCUGCGUCCCAUUAGCUAGUUGGUAAGGUAAAGGCUUACCAAGGCGACGAUGGGUAGCGGGUUUGAGAGGACGAUCCGCCACACUGGAACUGAGACACGGUCCAGACUCCUACGGGAGGCAGCAGUGGGGAAUAUUGCACAAUGGAGGAAACUCUGAUGCAGCAAUGUCGCGUGAGUGAAGAAGGCCCUUGGGUCGUAAAGCUCUUUUAUGGGGGAAGAUGAUGACGGUACCCCAAGAAUAAGCACCGGCUAACUAUGUGCCAGCAGCCGCGGUAAUACAUAGGGUGCGAGCGUUGUUCGGAAUUACUGGGCGUAAAGGGCGCGCAGGCGGAAUAGUAAGUCGGAGGUGAAAGCCCGGGGCUCAACCCCGGAGGGUCUUUCGAAACUGCUAAUCUAGAGAGGGUCAGGGGCCGGCAGAAUUCCUGGUGUAGAGGUGAAAUUCGUAGAUAUCAGGAGGAAUACCGGUGGCGAAGGCGGCCGGCUGGGGCCACUCUGACGCUGAGGCGCGAAAGCGUGGGGAGCAAACAGGAUUAGAUACCCUGGUAGUCCACGCCGUAAACGAUGAGCACUGGACGUCCGGAGGGUUCGACCCUUCUGGGUGUCUCAGCUAACGCAUUAAGUGCUCCGCCUGGGAAGUACGUUCGCAAGAAUGAAACUCAAAGGAAUUGACGGGGACCCGCACAAGCGGUGGAUUAUGUGGUUUAAUUCGAUGCAACGCGAAGAACCUUACCUGGACUUGACAUGUUAGUGAAACUCCGGUGAAAGCCGGAGCCUCCGCGAGCUUGCUCAAGGACACUAUCACAGGUGAUGCAUGGCUGUCGUCAGCUCGUGUCGUGAGAUGUUCGGUUAAGUCCGAUAACGAGCGCAACCCUUAUCUUUAGUUGCCAGCACGUAAUGGUGGGGACUCUAGAGAAACUGCCCGGGAUAACCGGAAGGAAGGUGGGGUCGACGUCAAGUCAGUAUGUCCCUUACGUUCAGGGCUACACACGUAAUACAAUGGGAAGUACAGAGGGUAGCAAAACUGCGAAGUGGAGCCAAUCCCAAAAAACUUCCCCAAGUUCGGAUUGCAGUCUGCAACUCGACUGCAUGAAGCAGGAAUCGCUAGUAAUCGCGCAUCAGCAUGGCGCGGUGAAUACGUUCCCGGGUCUUGUACACACCGCCCGUCACGCCAUGGAAAUCGGUCGCACCCGAUGUCAGUGUCCUAACCUUUUGGAGGGAGCUGUCUAAGGUGAAAUUGGUAACUGGGGCGAAGUCGUA
rnacentral:rRNA from 1 species